CCAGACUCCUACGGGAGGCAGCAGUGGGGGAUAUUGCACAAUGGGGGAAACCCUGAUGCAGCGACGCCGCGUGUGGGAAGACGGUCCUCUGGAUUGUAAACCACUGUCCCCAGGGACGAAAAUGACGGUACCUGGGGAGGAAGCUCCGGCUAACUACGUGCCAGCAGCCGCGGUAAUACGUAGGGGGCAAGCGUUAUCCGGAUGUACUGGGUGUAAAGGGGGCGCAGACGGCGAUGCAAGCCUGGAGUGAAAGCCCGGGGCCCAACCCCGGGACUGCUCUGGAAACUGCGUCGCUGGAGUACGGGAGGGGGAGGCGGAAUUCCUGGUGUAGCGGUGAAAUGCGUAGAUAUCAGGAGGAACACCGGCGGCGAAGGCGGCCUGCUGGACCGUGACUGACGCUGAGGCUCGAGAGCGUGGGGAGCAAACAGGAUUAGAUACCCCGGUAAA
rnacentral:rRNA from 1 species